rnacentral:misc_RNA from 1 species
GGAUUGAUAAUACUGUGGAGGCUGUGCCUUCAGCUGAACAAUCCUUCCCUUUGAUUGCAUCUGAUUCUGGUAUGAAUGGUCUUGAGGCACUGCCAGAUCAUGUUCCCUCAUCUUUUGAGCCCUUCCAACUUCUGAGCAUGGAUGAAGAUGUGGAUUUGGAAAUUCAGACAGGGUCUGGCAGUGAUCCUGGCACUAGUCGUAAUGUUGAAAGACAGACAGUACAAAGAAAUAGUCGUAGGCACUUAGUGGUUGCACAUUGGCACUUGUCUGCAAAAUCACAAUGGAAUUAUGUGCCAAAUGGUUUCCAUGCAAAUCAGAAUUCUCAGGCACCAAAACUUAGUGCCAUGCAGAAGCAUGGAAAUUACAGGGACUCAAAAUCGCUGCUUUCAAUCAAUGGCAAUAGGAAGUGGAGCCGAAAACCUAAACCAGAUUAUAGUGGAGACGUUUUGAAAACGAGAGUACAGAAACAAGCAAUAAGCCUGCCAGAUCACAAUAAGAAGCAUGAGGUUCUGAUUGGUUCUAUAUCUGUUGCACUUGGAAACUGCAGCCAACAGGAAGGUAACAAUUUGGAUGGAGCCAGAGAUGAUUUUCUGUCAGAGCAUCAAAUGCCAAAGAAAAACAAUGUUCAGGAUAAGCACAAUAGACCUGAUUCUGCUCACUGCAGUACAAAUCGGUCAACAAUAAAGCUUUGGAGGCCUGUGAGUAGAAAUGGAAUCAAAGGUCCAAUAUUAGUUGAAAAUGGGGAUAGAGAAUCUCAAGUUGAUGGGAUUACCGGUAAGGGUGACGAUUAUAUCCCACCUAAUGGAAACUGUCUUUGUUUGUGUUCUGUUGACGAUGAUCAUGGUGGAAUGGGGAACAGUUUCCCACUCCUUCAGGGGACUCCACAUCCCGGAAGCUUGCACUUCUCGUGCCAAGCAGCAAAAGCAUUUCUUGCAGA